rnacentral:snoRNA from 1 species
GGAUGGGCGAUGACACCCCAGUUGUAUCCUUAGAGCUGAACCAAUCGAGUGAAAACUUUUAAAUUGUUGUUCUCAUUGUGACUGAGGUCC